UGGCUUACCUAUUACAUACUUUUCUAUGGA
rnacentral:sRNA from 1 species